GAGGGGCAGCGGGGUACUGCUUGCCCUACUGCCGGCCACCGGCGCACGGGUGAGUAACAGGUAUGGAACCUGCCCGCAGCAGGGGGAUAAGCGGAAGAAAUUCCGUCUAAUACCGCUGUAACAACGUUGGGAGGCAUCUCCCGAUGUUUAAAGAUUUAUCGGCUGCGGAUGGCCAUGCGGCGCAUUAGCUAGUCGGCGGGGUAACGGCCCACCGAGGCGACGAUGCGUAGGGGUUCUGAGAGGAAGGUCCCCCACACUGGUACUGAGACACGGACCAGACUCCUACGGGAGGCAGCAGUGAGGAAUAUUGGUCAAUGGCCGAGAGGCUGAACCAGCCAAGUCGCGUGAGGGAAGACGGCCCUACGGGUUGUAAACCUCUUUUGUCGGGGAGCAAAGCGAACCACGUGUGGUUCAUUGACAGUACCUGACCAAAAAGCCUCGGCUAACUCCGUGCCAGCAGCCGCGGUAAUACGGAGGAUGCGAGCGUUAUCCGGAUUUAUUGGGUUUAAAGGGUGCGCAGGCGGCGCUGCAAGUCUGCUGUCAAAGCCCGGGGCCCAACCCCGUGAUUCCAUUGGAAACUCCUCCGUUGGAGUGCCGGAGGGUUAAGCGGAA
rnacentral:rRNA from 1 species